rnacentral:rRNA from 1 species
GAUGAACGCUGGCGGCGUGCUUAACACAUGCAAGUCGAACGAUGAAGCCCAGCUUGCUGGGUGGAUUAGUGGCGAACGGGUGAGUAACACGUGAGUAGCCUGCCCUUAACUCUGGGAUAAGCCUGGGAAACUGGGUCUAAUACCGGAUAGGAGCGUCCACCGCAUGGUGGGUGUUGGAAAGAUUUAUCGGUUUUGGAUGGACUCGCGGCCUAUCAGCUUGUUGGUGAGGUAAUGGCUCACCAAGGCGACGACGGGUAGCCGGCCUGAGAGGGUGACCGGCCACACUGGGACUGAGACACGGCCCAGACUCCUACGGGAGGCAGCAGUGGGGAAUAUUGCACAAUGGGCGCAAGCCUGAUGCAGCGACGCCGCGUGAGGGAUGACGGCCUUCGGGUUGUAAACCUCUUUCAGUAGGGAAGAAGCGAAAGUGACGGUACCUGCAGAAGAAGCACCGGCUAACUACGCG